CCCUAGCCCCGAUAGAAGUGGAAAUCCUUUUGUGUCCGCCGCGGCGGAUAAAAAAGAUUGGAACGUCCCGAGGCUUCGG
rnacentral:sRNA from 3 species